UACGUAGGGCGCAAGCGUUGUCCGGAAUUAUUGGGCGUAAAGAGUUCGUAGGCGGUUACUUAAGUCUGGUGUUAAAGCCCGAUGCUCAACGUCGGCAUGGCAUUGGAAACUGGGUAGCUAGAGUGUGUCAGAGGUUACGGGAAUUCCUGGUGUAGCGGUGAAAUGCGUAGAUAUCAGGAGGAACACCUGUGGCGAAAGCGCGUAACUGGGGCAUAACUGACGCUGAGGAACGAAAGCCAGGGUAUCCAAAGGG
rnacentral:rRNA from 1 species